rnacentral:rRNA from 1 species
GGGUUUCAUGUUGGUUUGUUGGGGGGAAACUCUCUUUCGAGCCCAACCACUCAAUAUCUUUUUUGAAAGCUAGGCGUGUGCUCUUUACUGAGAUGCAUGUUCGACUUUCGUACUUUUACUUAGAAAAAAUUAGAGUGUUCAAAGCAGGCAUUACGCUUGAAUACAUUAGCAUGGAAUAAUGGAAUAGGACUUUGGUCUUAUUUUGUUGGUUUCUUUUGACCGAAGUAAUGAUUAAUAGGGACAGUUGGGGACAUUAGUAUUUAAUUGUCAGAGGUGAAAUUCUUGGAUUUAUGAAAGACUAACUUCUGCGAAAGCAUUUGUCCAGGAUGUUUUCAUUAAUCAAGAACGAAAGUUAGGGGAUCGAAGGCGAUUAGAUACCGCCGUAGUCCUGACCAUAAACGAUGCC